rnacentral:rRNA from 1 species
CGCUAUGACAAGCGGGCGAAAGUGGUUGGACCCAUAUCUUGGCAACUCAGAUACGUUCGAUCUGGUAUUCCUGACCUGAUAGUUGUAGAUGAACAGUGUCUAAGAACAGACAUACUCGAAGAAGCAAAGAAGAUCGGGGUCCCCGUCAUCGCGACCAGCGAGAAGAGUAUGCUGGGUCUCCCCAAUAGAACGAAUGACGACCCAGAAACCAUUGUCGACGAUUUGGUAGAAGGGCUUGUUCCAGGUGUAUUCAUUUUAGAUCCAAGGAAGGCAGCAGGC